CCGAACUGUCGACACGAGUUGUUGCUGGUCCUCAAAUGGGGGCAUGUGCACGCUCUGUUUACGCAUCCACUCACACCUGUGCACCCACUGUAGUUCUAUGGCCUGGGGGCUCUGUCCUCUUGCUGUGGUUCUAUGUCUUUACACACACACUGUAAUAAAGUUUCAUGGAAUGCAUGACGCGUUUAACGCAAUACAAUA
rnacentral:misc_RNA from 1 species